rnacentral:tRNA from 2 species
GCACCUGUAGCUCAGUGGAUAGAGCACCGCCCUCCGGAGGUGGGUUUUGCGUAGGUUCGACUCCUAUCAGGUGCA